AGAGUUUGAUCCUGGCUCAGGAUGAACGCUGGCGGUAUGCCUAACACAUGCAAGUCGUACGGGAGUUUUUAACUCAAGUGGCGGACGGGUGAGUAACACGUAAGAAUUUACCUCUAGGAGGGGGAUAACAAUUGGAAACGAUUGCUAAUACCCCAUAUGCUUUUUAGUGAAACGGAUUUUUCCGCCUAGAGAGAAGCUUGCGGCUGAUUAGCUUGUUGGUGAGGUAAAGGCUCACCAAGGCAACGAUCUUUAGCUGGUCUGAGAGGACGAUCAGCCACAUUGGGACUGAGACACGGCCCAGACUCCUACGGGAGGCAGCAGUGGGGAAUAUUGGACAAUGGGCGCAAGCCUGAUCCAGCCAUACCGCGUGUGUGAAGAAGGCCUUCGGGUUGUAAAGCACUUUAAGCAGGGAGAAAAAGUUAUAAGCUAAUACCUUAUAACCUUGAUGUUACCUGCAGAAUAAGCACCGGCUAAUUCCGUGCCAGCAGCCGCGGUAAUACGGAAGGUGCAAGCGUUAAUCGGAAUUACUGGGCGUAAAGCGCGCGUAGGUGGUUUGUUAAGUUGGAUGUGAAAGCCCUGGGCUCAACCUAGGAACUGCAUCCAAAACUAACUCACUAGAGUACGAUAGAGGGAGGUAGAAUUCAUAGUGUAGCGGUGGAAUGCGUAGAUAUUAUGAAGAAUACCAGUGGCGAAGGCGGCCUCCUGGAUCUGUACUGACACUGAGGUGCGAAAGCGUGGGUAGCGAACAGGAUUAGAUACCCUGGUAGUCCACGCCGUA
rnacentral:rRNA from 1 species